rnacentral:rRNA from 1 species
GGCUAAAACAGCUAGGAGGUUGGCUUAGAAGCAGCCAUCCUUUAAAGAAAGCGUAAUAGCUCACUAGUCGAGUCGGCCUGCGCGGAAGAUGUAACGGGGCUAAACAUACCACCGAAGCUACGGCUGCGAACUUUGUUCGCGGGGUAGGGGAGCGUUCUGUAAGCGGCUGAAGGUGAACUGUAAGGUUUGCUGGACGUAUCAGAAGUGCGAAUGCUGACAUGAGUAACGAUAAUGCGGGUGAAAAACCCGCACGCCGGAAGACCAAGGGUUCCUAUCCCAUGUUAAUCAGGGUAGGGUGAGUCGACCCCUAAGGCGAGGCUGAA